CACUCGCGCGCUGACGCCGGGACAGAGGAGGAGGCGCCGCUCUGUGUCAAUAAACAACUGAGGUGUUUUACGAAUACUGCUAGUGGCUUUCAAAGAGAAGAGAAGAGCUCGUUGGACGUCCCCCGAAUGCAUCGCACACUCGAGAGCAGACAAAGGUUCCCUGAAAAAGGCUGAAAAUUCAAACACAAGACAAAUGGCCCAAAACACACAGUCAGUGAAGUGGUGCUUCUUCUGUGUACACCAGAAAAAACUCCUGCUCGUUUGCUACUUACCUACAUGGCAGCCAAACAAGACAGUGAGUUCAAUAGAAUCAUAAAGGAAGGUGAAAACUG